rnacentral:tRNA from 1 species
CAGGGUAUAGCUAAAUAGUAUAGCAUUUCCUUUACACUGAAAAGUCAUUUGUGCAAAUCGAAUUACCCUGA